CGAUCUCGCGCGCCCGCGGUUUUUCACGUUUCUCGCCCGCCGUAAUACGUACCGUCGUCGUCGCAGUGCGUUUUCGUAAUUCGACGUCCGCUGACAGUUCGCCGUAAUGUGACGGCCCGGGAGUCGUUCGGUUAUUUUAAUUUUUCAAUAAGCACAAAACGUCUGCGGAAAAACACGACUUUAUUAUCGAUUGGGCACGAGCACAGAGAGUUUUUGUUUUC